GGAUCACUUUAUUGUCCGUCUGUCUGUCAAGACCCUUUUUCUCAGGAACACGUGGAGGUAUUAAGCUGAAAAUCAUGUCAAAUACUUAGGUCUACUGUUCACUAAGUCUGUAA